rnacentral:rRNA from 1 species
GUCAAGUCAUCAUGGCCCUUACAUCCAGGGCUACACACGUACUACAAUGGCAGGUACAAAGGGUUGCCAAGCCGCGAGGCCGCGCUAAUCCCAAAAAAUCCUGUCUCAGUCCGGAUUGCAGUCUGCAACUCGACUGCAUGAAGCUGGAAUC